UUAUUCCAAUGGUCAAAUUAUACAUGUUAUUUUAUGUGGAUUACCACUGCUAUGUACCAUCAGUUGUUCAUUCCUCUUUCUUGAAAUAUUUUCUUUGAUUUCGUCCCAGGACAGCAUUCUGUCUGUUUUCCUCCUCCCUCAUUGGCUAAUUCUUCUCAGUUUCCUUUGCUGAUUCUUCCUUAUUUCCCUAAGCUCUAAACACACUAGAGCUGCAUUCUGAGCCCUUUUCUCCUUUCUCUCUUCACUUCCUUCUUAGAUGACAUGUUUUUAUUUCCGCUGCACUCUCCCACCUGGAUGCUAAACAGACAUAUCAAAAUUGGUUGUCCGCUUCACUCAGAGCAAAAGGCAUGUCCUUUAAGUGACUGCAAGUUCCUUCGUAGUAUCGCUUCCUGCUCCAGGUUUGUAGGAACACUGUGGACAGAUACAAGAACAAAGGAUUCUGGCACCAAGAAGUUUGCAGUAACCAACGACAUCCUCUCCUCUUUUAGUAUAAAAGAAGCCUGAAUCCUAACUCAGGAGCUGUCUUCCUCUUGGAUUUAUAUCUGUCCUCAAAAAAGAGCACCAUGGGGAAAAAUCCUCCUGGUUGAGAUGAUUUAUAUUUUACAACUGACAUUACUGCUCCAAAGCUUCUGCUCUCCCGCCACCAGAGCCCAUUUCUGCAAGCAGAGUUCAACUUUUCAGAGGACGUGUGUGUGCCACCCAUGGUUGAAAAACCCUGUCUCUGCUGGUUUACUCAUUGUGACAAAAAUGGGAUUAAUUAAACGUAAGAGGUUAUAAAUGUUUCAGCAACUGCUUUUUAGUACAGAAGCACCUAUCUGGCUAAAAGGAGGGAAGCCUUCCCUUCUAACUCCUUCUGCAUUUAAAGAAAACAAAAAUAAUUGGUGAUACUGCUUGUGUCCAAAUGUGUAUGUAACUGGAGGCAUGAAUAUGUGUUACAACAAAAAGUUAAAUUCUCCUGUUUAUUUUGAAAUCUCAAGCAUGCUUGAAGAAAUGUUAACUCAAGAAGGUAUUUUAUAAAGAUAUUAUUCCAUUAUAUAUACAUAGAGCUAUUGAUAUCAAGAAUAAUGAUAUUGAAGACAGUGGAGACAUAUUCUUUAGAAAAUAGUAUAUAAUGGCAAGCUCUAUCUGACAACAUUAAAUGUUUAUGAAAGAAAAUGUUGAAAAUUAUUUAGUGGAAAUGUAGGUUUUAUGGUUUGCUUACAGAAUUUUCUUUCAACAUUUGAAUUUUAAAUGCAAAGUUGAGUAAUUGAUCCCCGUGGUUUUAGGUCCUUGGCCCUUGCCUUCUGCCUCCCUUUCCAGGCCAGUCUCCCCCCAAAGACAUCACUUCUAACCUUUACCCCAGGCUACAAGAUACAAAUUGCCAUUCAGCGUCUCCACUCUAUUUUUCUUUAUUCCACCAUUGUCUCAAAUUUUCUAUACUCACAUUCUUUCCUGCUUUAAGACACUUCUCCUUGUCCAUAACCUUAUAAUUUUAUGAUUGACAGAUAAAAAUAAUUGAUUUUUCAUGAUUUAUAGGCCUAUAAAGUAUCCUUUUCACUGCAACUGAGAAACUGGUUUGUGACCAGUCCAUUAGAACACUUCACUUGGAUUGGAAGAGUUCUUAUGGGAAGAGAUUGGCAUAAUAUUCUAGUGGAGAAGCCCACUCCAAAAUGUACAGUUAAUGACUCUUGCAGUGGGAUUAGUUUAUGUAAGUUUAUUUGCUCUAAAUCAAUACCUGACCAUGACCAUUUCAACAGAUGGUACAAAUGAAAUGCCUCAGACAUAAGAACCCCAUCUCAAAAACAAAAAAGGAGAAAGACCACAAGGUUUUUCCUUGAUUGCUUACACAAAUUUACUCAAAACAAAGAAAAGAAGGAAUGUAUCUUAAUGGGUCUCUACUUUCAGUUCAGUUCAGUUCA